rnacentral:rRNA from 1 species
AACGAACGCUGGCGGCAUGCCUAACACAUGCAAGUCGAACGAGACCUUCGGGUCUAGUGGCGCACGGGUGCGUAACGCGUGGGAACCUGCCUUUAGGUUCGGAAUAACUCAGAGAAAUUUGAGCUAAUACCGGAUGAUGUCUUCGGACCAAAGAUUUAUCGCCUUUAGAUGGGCCCGCGUUGGAUUAGCUAGUUGGUGGGGUAAAGGCCUACCAAGGCGACGAUCCAUAGCUGGUCUGAGAGGAUGAUCAGCCACACUGGGACUGAGACACGGCCCAGACCCCUACGGGGGGGAGGAGGGGGGAAUAUUGGACAAUGGGCGAAAGCCUUAUCCCGCAAUGCCGGGUGAGUGAUGAAGGCCUUAGGGGUGUAAAGCCCUUUUACCCGGGGUGAUAAAGACAGGUUCGGGAGAAAAAGCCCCGGCUAACCCCG